rnacentral:rRNA from 1 species
GUCGGACGGUAGCACAGAGGAGCUUGCUCCUCGGGUGACGAGUGGCGGACGGGUGAGUAAUGUCUGGGGAUCUGCCCGAUAGAGGGGGAUAACCACUGGAAACGGUGGCUAAUACCGCAUAACGUCGCAAGACCAAAGAGGGGGACCUUCGGGCCUCUCACUAUCGGAUGAACCCAGAUGGGAUUAGCUAGUAGGCGGGGUAAUGGCCCACCUAGGCGACGAUCCCUAGCUGGUCUGAGAGGAUGACCAGCCACACUGGAACUGAGACACGGUCCAGACUCCUACGGGAGGCAGCAGUGGGGAAUAUUGCACAAUGGGCGCAAGCCUGAUGCAGCCAUGCCGCGUGUAUGAAGAAGGCCUUCGGGUUGUAAAGUACUUUCAGCGGGGAGGAAGGCGAUGUGGUUAAUAACCGCGUCGAUUGACGUUACCCGCAGAAGAAGCACCGGCUAACUCCGUGCCAGCAGCCGCGGUAAUACGGAGGGUGCAAGCGUUAAUCGGAAUUACUGGGCGUAAAGCGCACGCAGGCGGUCUGUUAAGUCA